CAAAACACAGAGGCCAUUUUUGAGGAGAGAUUUGUUGAGAGACACACAAGAGCUCUCGAGUUCUGUGCUACAUUAGCUCAUGGAUCUGCCUUGCGUGUGAGUGUUAUGCAACUGUCGACAUGACAGAGGUGCUCCCAAUAAAAAGACCUCCAGUGUUAGAGAUACAUGGCACCCCAUCAAAGCUACAGAGUGAGGGGAAGUGAGCGUAGAGAGAGAGAGAUGAUCCUCUCUGAAGAUCUUGAGGAGCAAAGCAGCAUACCAACAUAGUCACGGAUUCAUAUCCCUAGGUUACCAGAGCCAGCCAGAUCCAGCUCCGUUUCUGCUUGGUGUCAGACUCCACUGCUAUGUGUCUCUGAGUAAUGAUGACUAAAUGCAGCCGGUGCCAGCCAGACAUCACUUCAGUCUAUUACGAUGGACUUCAGGGGAUGAACUGAUGCCAGCUCCAACCCUAAGACAUGGGAUACUUAAUGUGCCACUGCCUGAACCUUGGACAUAGGAUAGAUCUCACCGAAAUGACCUGCAGGUUGAUCUGUGAUGCACCUCAUAAUUUAUCUCUGCCUGCAUCACCUUUGUCUGUUAAUGGACCACACUCUUGAAAUGGAAUACACAGACUUUCAAUUAUUUGCCAACAAAACCCUUCAUCAGCCAACUAACAAAGGACAGUGCAUCAAUGUGAACUUCUGCACUUAAUCCAGGCUGAACUUUAAAGACGUUAGUCAUUAAUCUUACAGUUCAUACAAAAUCUUUGUAUAAACACUGGCCCUUAACACUUACUUACUAAUUUGAAACCAUGACUUGCUCUGCACACAAAUAACUAAUACUGGCAUUAUGUUCAUUCUGUUUAGCCAGAGGGGAACUGGCCCCCACAGUGAGCCUGGUUUCUUCCAAGGUUAUUUUUCUCUAUUACUCAAUAUUUAAUGGAGUUUUAUGUUCCUUGCCACAGUCGCCUUCAGCUUGCUCACUGGGGUUCUAAAUACAAUUAUUAUUUAACUAUUUAAUUAUUUAUUUUUAUACACAAUUUACAAUAAUAUUUAAUCAAACUACACAAUGAUGACUAAAUCUUUAUAGAUAUUACAGUUUUCAUUUUCUGUUAAUAAAUGAUUUUCUGUAAAGCUGCUUUGA